rnacentral:sRNA from 1 species
UAUUGUUUCUAAGUGUGUGCUAUGCAAGUGACUGUGUUCAAGUAGUUUAGCUUGAUAAGGUUUUCUCACAUUUAUGGUCCUGAACGUUAGAGUUAUAUUUUUUCCCCUCCUGGUCGACAGGUCUCCGAGAGAGACAUCUUGUGUGAGCUGGUGUGGAGCGUCUCAAUGCGCUCCCUGGCAUUGCACCUGCUCCCGUCUGUCUCUCUCCUCUCUCUCCCCGUGUCCGUCGAUCACCACGUUGUGUGACAGCAACAACUUGCGUGGACCACCUCGCUAUUUCACUGGUCAUCCGUCGCGAGACUCAAUGGUAUCUCCAGGUUGAUGUGGUAGCUUUGUGCCCGCGCGAUCGCUCAGGUAGAAUUACCCCUGCCUGUGAGGAGGUGUGAAAAUAAAAGUGUUCAAACCUGCUGUGAUUAUUUCCCCUUUGUUAUUCUUGAUUGAUUGGAUACUUUUGACGGCCAGUUAUGUCAUGGAGUUUACUUGGUAGAUUUCAA